AGGAGGAAGCCGGUGUGAAUCCGGCGCGGUCCCGCCACUGUGACCAGCACCCGCUGGGAGUCAGGAACUC
rnacentral:ncRNA from 1 species